rnacentral:tRNA from 1 species
GUAAGCAUAGUUUAAUACAAAACACUAAGCUGUGGACUUAGUAAUAGGGCUUUACACCCCUUACAUACC